rnacentral:rRNA from 1 species
GACGAACGCUGGCGGCGUGCUUAACACAUGCAAGUCGAACGGAAAGGCCCCUUUGGGGGUACUCGAGUGGCGAACGGGUGAGUAACACGUGAGUAACCUGCCCUUGACUUCGGGAUAACUUCAGGAAACUGGGGCUAAUACCGGAUAGGAAUCCUUGCUGCAUGGUGGGGGUUGGAAAGCUUCGGCGGUUUUGGAUGGACUCGCGGCGUAUCAGCUUGUUGGUGGGGUAGUGGCUUACCAAGGCUUUGACGGGUAGCCGGCCUGAGAGGGCGACCGGCCACAUUGGGACUGAGAUACGGCCCAGACUCCUACGGGAGGAAGCAGUGGGGAAUAUUGCACAAUGGGCGGAAGCCUGAUGCAGCAACGCCGCGGGCGGGAUGACGGCCUUCGGGUUGUAAACCGCUUUCAGCAGGGGCGAAGCUUGUGGUGACGGUACCUGCAGAAGAAGCACCGGCUAACUACGUG